UAGAUUUUCAUGCCUUUUGUAAACGGUAUUGUGUUAUGUGUUUUGUUGGCUUGAUUUGGCAUUAGGCCGGGCCCAGUCUUGAAUUAUUUCAAUGUAUGGAUAUUUCUUGAAUCAAUAAAGUAAAUGUUUUAUAUGCGCUUCAUGAGUACUCUGAUAUUUGACUAGUCCGGUCUAACACAACGUUAGGUCGUGGUACGGGUUGAAAAGCCUUAGGCCUCGAUCUAACAGAAAACGCUAACUCUAGGUACGGGUUGCAAAGCCUUGU
rnacentral:lncRNA from 1 species